rnacentral:rRNA from 1 species
AUACGGAAGGUCCGGGCGUUAUCCGGAUUUAUUGGGUUUAAAGGGAGCGCAGGCGGAGAUGCAAGCGUGACGUCAAAUUUCGGGGCUCAACCCCGUCUCGCGUCGCGAACUGCGUCCCUUGGUUGCGGGAAGGGGAGGCGGAACUCGUGGUGUAGCGGGGAAAUGCAUAGAUAUCACGAAGAACUCCGAUCGCGAAGGCAGCCUUCCGGCCCGUCAACGACGCUCAUGCUCGAAGGUGCGGGUAUCAAACAGGGUUAGAUACCCUGGUAGUCCGCACAGUAAACGAUGGACACCCGCGGUUUGGCCUGUAUGGCUGAGCCGCCAAGCGAAAGCGUUAAGUGUCCCACCUGGGGAGUACGCCGGCAACGGUGAAACUCAAAGGAAUUGGCGGGG